rnacentral:rRNA from 1 species
AACAAACGCUGGCGGCGUGCCUAACACAUGCAAGUCGUACGAGAAAGUUGGCUUCGGCCGAUGAGUAAAGUGGCGCACGGGUGAGUAAUGUAUAGUUAAUCUGCCCUUUAGAGGGGGAUAACAGUUGGAAACGACUGCUAAUACCCCAUACUCCUUCUAUAUUAAUUAUAGUUGGGAAAGUUUUUUCGCUAAAGGAUGAGACUAUAUGGUAUCAGCUAGUUGGUGAGGUAAUGGCUCACCAAGGCAAUGACACCUAGCUGGUCUGAGAGGAUGAUCAGCCACACUGGAACUGAGACACGGUCCAGACUCCUACGGGUGGCAG